rnacentral:tRNA from 2 species
GGGCGCGUAGCUCAGUUGGGAGAGCGUUGCCGUGACAUGGCAAGUCAGUCGCUGGUUCAAGCCCAGCCGUGCCCA